CUUUAGCAUUUUUGCUAAGGAAGUUCUUGGAAGAAAUGCUUCACCAAAAUGAGGGAGUAAACCUCAAAAAGGGCACAAAUCCAACAAAUAAGAGUCAAAAAGAAUCCCCAGGAUAAUGGUGAAGGGCACUCCCAGGACAACAGCUGUUCAGGAAACACGGCAAUCAACCCGUCCAGAUGGGAACAGAAGGAGGGAUGGCUCCAGGAGCAGAUAUCUCCAAGGAGAAGAUGAAACUGAUGGUUACCUGAGGUGUCUGCAUAUAGAAACAGGAGAUUUACUACUCUGGUACAGUUUAGGGAUGAAUUUAGAAUAGAUUAAUAGGAAGCUAAGCAAAUAAAAAUAGAGAUAGUUAAUAAAUAACUCCAGGGUAAACAAAAGUUGUGAAAGAAAGAAAAUGUCAUCAUAGCAUACCACAUGUCCCUGCUGUGAAUAAUAUUUACAUAGUAACAAAAAUGUAAACCAUAAAUUCUGACCAAUAUUUAAGAUAUAAACUCUUGGAGGAUGAGAAAAGUAUGUAAAUAAGUAAGUUUGGGUAUAUGAAUGGUUAGGAGGUAUGAGAGCUAAAUUCUCAUCUUCCAUAGGAGCAUCAGACUGUUACUUAGAAACAUGAAAGCAGAUGUCAGAAGUGCCUAACACUGUGAAGGUUGCUUCUGGAGUGGGGAAAUUUGGAGUGGGAAGGGAGGAGCUGGGCACUGAUGAUUUUAAAAUUAUAAACAAAAAUGUAUUAGAAGCUCAUUACCAAAAAAAAGGAAGCUACAGAAAAGUAAAAAUAAGAAAAAAGAUUCCCUAUACUUCCUACAUCCAAGGAUUAACACUCCUAACAAAAUUAUUUCCCAUUUAUGUUUGUCAUAUAUAUUUCAAAGCAAUAUAUUAUUUCAUAAUAGAUAAGUAUAUUUGUUUAGGUGUAAUAGGUUAGGUUCUUUACCCAUAUUUUAUUAGAAAAAAUUUCAAAGUGGGAAGAAUUGUAUAGGGAACAUCAUCUAUCCUCUACUAGGUUCUGCAUUUAACAGUUUACUGUACUUGUUUUUCAUAAAUAUAUCAGUCUGUCUAUCCUUCUAUACAUCCAUUGAUCCAUUGUAUGUUUUGAGGCAUUUCAAAAUAAGUUGCUGACUUUGGUACACUUCAUCCUGAACACGUCAUCAGGCAAACCACUAAUCAGAGUUUAAUAUCUAUUUAUGGUUCUUUUUCUUAUGCAAUUUUACAUAUGAUGAGAUACAUGAAUCUUAAGCAUAUCAUUUGAUAAAUUUUGAUUAAAUGCAUACUCCUGCAUAACACAAAACCCUAUCAAAAUGCGGGACAUUGCAAUCACUCCAGAAAAUUCCCUCAUGCCCUUUCCUUCUCAAUUUGUAUCCCUACCCCGACACUCACUAAAGCAAUGCACUGAUUUUAAAAAUUUAUUCCAAAACCUCACAUAACUGAAAUAAUAGAAAUGUGCUUUUUUAUAAGGCUUUUUCACUCAGCAUAUUGAGAUUCAUCCAUGUUGUGGCACAUAUCAUUAGUUUAUUUCUUUAUCUUGCUGAGU
rnacentral:lncRNA from 1 species